rnacentral:ncRNA from 1 species
CUGACGACAACGAUUAUUGUCCUGGGUCUCAUCGUGGCCGCCGGCCUGACAGCGGUGCUGCACUGAUUU